rnacentral:rRNA from 1 species
GUGUUGUUGGGUAGGGGAGCGUUCUGUAAGCCUGCGAAGGUGGCCUGUGAGGGUUGCUGGAGGUAUCAGAAGUGCGAAUGCUGACAUAAGUAACGAUAAUGCGGGUGAAAAGCCCGCACGCCGGAAGACCAAGGGUUCCUGUCCAACGUUAAUCGGGGCAGGGUGAGUCGACCCCUAAGGCGAGGCCGAAAGGCGUAGUCGAUGGGAAACAGGUUAAUAUUCCUGUACUUGGUGUUACUGCGAAGGGGGGACGGAGAAGGCUAUGUUAGCCGGGCGACGGUUGUCCCGGUUUAAGCAUGUAGGCGGAGGUUCCAGGUAAAUCCGGUACCUUUUAACGCUGAGGUGUGAUGACGAGGCACUACGGUGCUGAAGUAACAAAUGCCCUGCUUCCAGGAAAAGCCUCUAAGCAUCAGGUAACAUUGAAUCGUACCCCAAACCGACACAGGUGGUCAGGUAGAGAAUACCAAGGCGCUUGAGAGAACUCGGGUGAAGGAACUAGGCAAAAUGGUGCCGUAACUUCGGGAGAAGGCACGCUGAUAUGUAGGUGAAGUCCCUGCGGAUGGAGCUGAAAUCAGUCGAAGAUACCAGCUGGCUGCAACUGUUUAUUAAAAACACAGCACUGUGCAAACACGAAAGUGGACGUAUACGGUGUGACGCCUGCCCGGUGCCGGAAGGUUAAUUGAUGGG